rnacentral:rRNA from 1 species
CCUACGGGAGGCAGCAGUGAGGAAUAUUGGUCAAUGGGCGCUAGCCUGAACCAGCCACGUCGCGUGAAGGAUGACUGCCCUAUGGGUUUUAAACUUCUUUUAUAUGGGAAUAAAGUGCAGUAUGUAUACUGCUUUCCAUGUACCUUUUGAUUCCAGAUCGGCUAACUCCGUGCCAGCAGCCGCGGUAAUACGGAGGAUCCGAGCGUUAUCCGGAUUUAUUGGGUUUAAAGGGAGCGUAGGCGGGUUGUUAAGUCAGUUGUGAAAGUUUGCGGCUCAACCGUAAAAUUGCAGUUGAUACUGGCAGCCUUGAGUACAGUAGAGGUAGGCGGAAGUCGUGGUGUAGCGGUGAAAUGCGUAGAUAUCACGAAGAACGCCGAUUGCGAAGGCAGCCUGCUGGACUGUAACUGACGCUGAUGCUCGAAAGUGUGGGUAUCAAACAGGAUUAGAUACCCCAGUAGUC